rnacentral:rRNA from 1 species
CCUACGGUAGGCAGCAGUGGGGAAUAUUGCACAAUGGGGGAAACCCUGAUGCAGCGACGCCGCGUGAGUGAAGAAGUAAUUCGUUAUGUAAAGCUCUAUCAGCAGGGAAGAAAAUGACGGUACCUGAGGAAGAAGCCCAGGCUAACUACGUGCCAGCAGCCGCGGUAAUACGUAGGGGGCACGCGUUAUCCGGAUUUACUGGGUGUAAAGGGAGCGUAGACGGCAGUGCAAGUCUGGAGUGAAAGGCGGGGGCUCAACCCCCGGACUGCUCUGGAAACUGUACGGCGGGAGUGAAGGAGAGGUAAGUGGAAUUCCUAGUGUAGCGGUGAAAUGCGUCGAUAUUAGGAGGAACACCAGUGGCGAAGGCGGCUUACUGGACUGUAACUGACGUUGAGGCUCGAAAGCGUGGGGAGCAAACAGGAUUAGAUACCCUUGUAGUC